AUGGAGUACUUGCACCUGGCCCUGAGGCCCAUCUGUAGUGUUCCACCACUGCUCACCCGGAGCGAGGUAGCCGGAUCGGUGGGUUUGUGUACUGGGCUAGGACAGGAAAGGGCCUGGGUUGCAGUUUCUUCCUUCUCCCGUUCGCUCUCUAUUCCUUUUUUUUUUUUUUUUUUUUUUUUUUUUUUUUUUUUUUUUAAGAGCGUAAGAGAAGAGCAAAAAGGAAGAGGGACUGAGAAAGGAUAACAAACAAAUUGAAGGGUGAGAAGAGUGACAAAUUGAAGGGUUCAGGAAAAGUGAGACCGUCCUGGGUGUGGCAGCGGUGGGAUUCCAACCCACGCCAUCGAAAUGACUGGAGCCUAAAUCCAGCGCCUUAAACCACUCGGCCACGCUACCGCCCGCUACGACGCCUUCCGCUGAGACUAUAUUAGUCUAAUGACGUGGCAUCUCACGCUCCAUGGCCCGCCCUCCUGGGUUUUGCGCAUGCGCAAUAUCAGCCGAGUGUUUGCUGCGCCUGUUAAAGGCGUCUUGACCGCCGCCUCCCUUCUGGGCCUCGGAAUCACAAUACUUUUGUGAUCGGCAGCAAAAACUACGGUCGGAACCCAGCAUUACAAAGGAAAGGAGAGUUCCUAAAUAUUAAGCAUUAAUAUUCAGUCCUCCCAUGCGUGUACGUGGGCUUUGCCGUGUGCGUCGUAUGCUGGCUACGGCCACGAGGGGGCGGUGCCGCGCCGCCGCUUCCUCCCGGCCGGGCUGGGGCCCGGCUGCUCUGUCCCCACCUGCGGACCCCCCAGCCCCACUCCAGGUCAGCUCUGCAAGCCUGGGUGGCCCCACGGCGCGGUCCCUGCUCCCGCGAGGUGAGAAUCACCGGUCCAGGUGGAUGCCGUUACAAUGACAACGUUGUUACACGGUACCCCUUGUCCGCAUCUUAGAAGCUGAGGUGCAGAGAGGCCAAGUGACUUGUCUCCACCUGCCGAGCCAGCCUCCCAAGACGCUUCCGUGCAGGCGAUCUGUGUUUUCCGUUUUUAAUGCAACACAGUUGCAUUAAGUACAAUCUCUAAAUACAGAGCAACUACACCGUACAUAAGUACGCGAUACAUUUCUAUUUCCCAUCACCCAGAAUUAAUUGUUAACGUUUUGAAUAUUUGCUUCAAAUAUAAAUUAUUAUUAAUUAUUAAUUAAUUAUUAUAUAAUUAAUUAUUAAGAUUCAAGUGUCUUUUGAUAUCCUUCAAGUUCAGUUCCCCUUCCUCCUACCUGAGGAGUCUCAGAUCGUUUUAGUCCUUUUUAAAAAAAAAUAAUUUUGCAUAUUCUUGGGCUUCUCCAUUUCCUUGCAUGUUUAAGGAAAAUAACAGAGAUACAGCAUAGUAAAGAUAGGCAGGGGAGUAUGUAUGGUAAGCGGAGUAUUGCCCACCACCAAAGAUGUCCAUAUUCAAAUCCCCAGAACCUGUAUGUUACUUUAUGUGACAAAAGGGACUUUGUUAAAAAGAAAUAAAUAAAAGUAAAAAUUAAUUUUAAAAAAAGGG
rnacentral:lncRNA from 12 species